AGUGAACGCUGGCGGUAGGCCUAACACAUGCAAGUCGAACGGCAGCACAGCAGUAGCAAUACUGUGGGUGGCGAGUGGCGGACGGGUGAGGAAUACAUCGGAAUCUACCUUUUCGUGGGGGAUAACGUAGGGAAACUUACGCUAAUACCGCAUACGACCUUAGGGUGAAAGCGGAGGACCUUCGGGCUUCGCGCGGAUAGAUGAGCCGAUGUCGGAUUAGCUAGUUGGCGGGGAAAGGCCCACCAAGGCUACGAUCCGUAGCUGGUCUGAGAGGAUGAUCAGCCACACUGGAACUGAGACACGGUCCAGACUCCUACGGGAGGCAGCAGUGGGGAAUAUUGGAC
rnacentral:rRNA from 1 species